rnacentral:rRNA from 1 species
GUGAGGAAUAUUGCGCAAUGGAGGCAACUCUGACGCAGCCAUGCCGCGUGCAGGAAGAAGGCGCUACGCGUUGUAAACUGCUUUUAACCGGGAAGAAACCCCAGGACGUGUCCUGGGUUGACGGUACCGGAGGAAUAAGCACCGGCUAACUUCGUGCCAGCAGCCGCGGUAAUACGAAGGGUGCAAGCGUUAUCCGGAUUCAUUGGGUUUAAAGGGUGCGUAGGCGGAGCGUUAAGUCAGUGGUGAAAUCCUGCAGCUUAACUGUAGACUUGCCAGUGAUACUGGAGCUCUUGAGUGCGCUUGAAGUGGGCGGAAUGUGCCGUGUAGCGGUGAAAUGCUUAGAUAUGGCACAGAACACCAAUUGCGAAGGCAGCUCACUAAGGCGAUACUGACGCUGAGGCACGAAAGCGUGGGGAUCGAACAGGAUUAGAAACCCUAGUAGUCC